rnacentral:rRNA from 1 species
UACGUAGGGUGCGAGCGUUGUCCGGAAUUAUUGGGCGUAAAGAGCUCGUAGGCGGCCUGGCGCGUCGGAUGUGAAAGCCCGGGGCUUAACCCCGGGUCUGCAUUCGAUACGGGCAGGCUAGAGUGUGGUAGGGGAGACUGGAAUUCCUGGUGUAGCGGUGAAAUGCGCAGAUAUCAGGAGGAACACCGGUGGCGAAGGCGGGUCUCUGGGCCGAUAUUGACGCUGAGGAGCGAAAGCGUGGGGAGCGAACAGG